rnacentral:rRNA from 1 species
CCUACGGGUGGCAGCAGUGGGGAAUAUUGGGCAAUGGGCGCAAGCCUGAUCCAGCAACGCCGCGUGAAGGAAGAAGGCUCUCGGGUUGUAAAGUUCUUUUCUCAGGGACGAAGCAAGUGACGGUACCUGAGGAAUCAGCCACGGCUAACUACGUGCCAGCAGCCGCGGUAAUACGGAGGUGGCAAGCGUUAUCCGGAUUUACUGGGUGUAAAGGGCGUGUAGGCGGGGACGCAAGUCAGUUGUGAAACCCACGGGCUCAACCUGUGGCCUGCAUUUGAAACUGUGUUUCUGGAGUACAGGAGAGGCAGACGGAAUUCCUGGUGUAGCGGUGAAAUGCGUAGAUAUUAGGAGGAACACCAGUGGCGAAGGCGGUCUGCUGGACAGCAACUGACGCUGAGGCGCGAAAGCGUGGGGAGCAAACAGGAUUAGAUACCCCUGUAGUC